rnacentral:rRNA from 1 species
CAGCAGUAAGGAAUAUUGGUCAAUGGAGGCAACUCUGAACCAGCCAUGCCGCGUGCAGGAAGACAGCCCUCUGGGUCGUAAACUGCUUUUAUUCGGGAAUAAACCUACUUACGUGUAAGUAGCUGAAUGUACCGAAGGAAUAAGGAUCGGCUAACUCCGUGCCAGCAGCCGCGGUAAUACGGAGGAUCCAAGCGUUAUCCGGAUUUAUUGGGUUUAAAGGGUGCGUAGGCGGCUUUUUAAGUCAGGGGUGAAAGACGGUAGCUCAACUAUCGCAGUGCCCUUGAUACUGAAGAGCUUGAAUGGACUAGAGGUAGGCGGAAUGUGACAAGUAGCGGUGAAAUGCAUAGAUAUGUCACAGAACACCGAUUGCGAAGGCAGCUUACUAUGGUUUAAUUGACGCUGAGGCACGAAAGCGUGGGGAUCAAACAGGAUUAGAUACCCUGGUAGUCC